rnacentral:rRNA from 1 species
GACGAACCGUGCGAACGUUAUUCGGAAUCACUGGGCUUAAAGCGCGUGUAGGCGGGCCGCCACGUCGGCUGCUGAAAUCCCCCGGCUCAACCGGGGAAGUGGCACCGAUACGAGCGGCCUCGAGGGGGGUAGGGGGGUCUGGAACUUCCGGUGGAGCGGUGAAAUGCGUUGAGAUCGGAAGGAACGCCCGUGGCGAAAGCGAGGCCCUGGACCCUUACUGACGCUGAGACGCGAAGCCAGGGAGCGAAGCGGG